CACGAGAAGGACUAACGGUUCUGCCAACGCAGUUCGUUUGUCAAGGGAACAACUUUUGAUUGAAAAGCUCGCAAGAUCUUUUGGAGUGAACGGGGUUCAGAAAGAGGCACUCGUCAUACUUCCGCAAUUAUAUUUAUCGCUGUGAAAGUUAUAUUUGUUUAUCUGUGCAGACAAUAGAUGAAGAAGGACAUUCUGAAAGCGGAAGAUGCACCCCGCGUGAAGGCACUUUUAAAAGCAUCCUUUAUCAUGAGGAGCACGUCACCAGUGGCGGUAUUACCGGCUUAUCUCCUAAACGAAGAACUGCUUGCCUUUGAAAGUGAACUGAGAUUUUCAAGCACUAUGGAGGAGAAUGUCAAGCGCCUCAGCAAAAUUCUGCUUGCAGUGGCGACAGUGUCGUCCUUAGCGGACCCAUCGUACACAGAGGUGGAUGCGUACCUGAGGCCAAGGCUCGCAAAAUGGCCCUAAUUUCAGAGGUUUCACCCGCGGACAUUAUUGGCCCGUGCAUUGUGUGGGGCGACAUGGAGGAGCUUGUAUGCGGCAAAGAGCCCAGCAAAACCAUGAAGCUACAGCCGAACACGUCGCUAGAAAAAGCACUGGUGCUUUGUUUGUGUGUGUACUACGACAAGGACCUUGCGUAUCCGGCGGCUUUUGGCCAGUUGCUUGGCUUCCUUCAAGCAGCCGUUAAACGUGCCGGCAUCGAUGAAAUUCCAUGGGCGCAGAAAGGGCUACGGGAUUUGUUCACGAAACUACACUUCGUUUGAGUUAAGUACACAUCAAAGUUUAUGUGCUGCUUAAAGAGACAUCCAAAAUUCAUCUAGCGCCUAUUUUACAGUUCCUGUGUGUUUUUUUUUCUUGGAUUGCUCUUCCAUAAAAAGAAACGUUUUUGUAAGUUAUGGUCAAUAAAAGUUUUACUCAA